rnacentral:rRNA from 1 species
GAUGAACGCUGGCGGCGUGCCUAAUACAUGCAAGUCGAGCGAACAGACGAGGAGCUUGCUCCUCUGACGUUAGCGGCGGACGGGUGAGUAACACGUGGAUAACCUACCUAUAAGACUGGGAUAACUUCGGGAAACCGGAGCUAAUACCGGAUAACAUGUUGAACCGCAUGGUUUAACAGUGAAAGACGGUCUUGCUGUCACUUAUAGAUGGAUCCGCGCCGCAUUAGCUAGUUGGUAAGGUAACGGCUUACCAAGGCAACGAUGCGUAGCCGACCUGAGAGGGUGAUCGGCCACACUGGAACUGAGACACGGUCCAGACUCCUACGGGAGGCAGCAGUAGGGAAUCUUUCGCAAUGGGCGAAAGCCUGACGGAGCAACGCCGCGUGAGUGAAGAAGGUCUUCGGAUCGUAAAACUCUGUUAUUAGGGAAGAACAAAUGUGUAAGUAACUAUGCACGUCUUGACGGUACUUAAUCAGAAAGCCACGGCUAACUACGU